AGUAACGCGUGAGGAACCUGCCUUCCAGAGGGGGACGAACAGUUGGAAACGACUGCUAAUACCGCAUGAUGCGUUGGAGCCGCAUGACUCCGACGUCAAAGAUUUAUCGCUGGAAGAUGGCCUCGCGUCUGAUUAGCUAGUUGGUGAGGUAACGGCCCACCAAGGCGACGAUCAGUAGCCGGACUGAGAGGUUGGCCGGCCACAUUGGGACUGAGAUACGGCCCAGACUCCUACGGAAGGCAGCAG
rnacentral:rRNA from 1 species